CCAGGAGCCGGGAGCAGGCACACAGGCGUCCCGACGUCUCUACCGAUACCAUUUAUUUUCAUUCUCCCCAGUACAUCCUGCAAAGCUAGUGGGGUGAGCCCAUUGCACGGAUGCAUAACGAGGCUCAGAGAGGCUGGAGCGGGGCAGGAUUUGAGCCUUAGUGUCAGAUCCCAAAGCCGAGGCGCAUAGCCAUCCUCUGCUGCCGGGAGGGGCUAAGAGGGAAGAAGUGGGGGAAGCAAAGGAGGCUGCAUCAAUCACAGGGAUGGAUUUGCUCCAGCACGCCAGAAAGGAGCAGCCUCAGAGCCACUGAGGAGAAAGAACAGUGAGGGCUGUAAGGGGCGCUGAGGGUGGAGGCAGGAGGGCCAGGGACAUGAAGGACGGGGCAAAAGGGGAGGCAGAGACCAACGGACAGGGACAGAUGGAGGCAGGCACUUGGGAUGUUCCAGAACAGAGGCUCUGAGGGUGCCCAGUGGGUAGGGUGGUGGUGGCCCCACCCUGACCAGAACCUGGCCUCGGUCAAACCUGACCCCCCACCCAGGACCUAGUACAUGCCCCAGCCCCAGCCCCUGCCACCCCUGCCCAAUCGUGUCUGCGAAAUUCAAGGAAGCAACAGUAAAUAUGUGGGCUCCGGAGUCAGGCUGACCUGGAUUUCAACCCAACUGCACCUCCUCAAGGUAUCCUCAGCAAGAUCUUGCCACCUUUCUGAGUGGCUGGUUCCUCUUGGUGGAACCCACUGCUUUACUGGUUCCCUGAGGAGCUAGAAGGGAGAAAGCUUGGGUUACGGCUACAAGAAGGAAGACGCCAUGGCCAAGCCUGCCUCAAGGCUGUUCUGGAGGAGGCAGUCCCAGAGCUGCCAGAUGCAUCUUCAUCUUAAACACAGCUUUCCAGCUCUCUGUACAGACUCAGCACCCUUGGAGGUGGUGUUUAGGUUAUCCUGGGCUGGCCAGGCGUCUUGGACUCUAUGCACGUGUUUUCUCAUUCAUUAACUACCCUGAACCCCGCUCCCAGCGAAAUGAACUACUGCUUCCAUCAUAAAGAUAUGGAAACUGAGAAUCCUCCAGAUCACAUAGCAGCCACCAUGUUAGCCAGACUAAAACCCAGGACUCCUUCAACCCCAGCCUGAGGCCUCACCAGGAGACUGUGGUGACAGAACUGGGACUCAAACCCGGGCUUUCUCCUCUUAAACCACAGAUUGGAGGGAGCAGACACAGGCAAGGGGACAGGGAGGGAGAGGAGAUUAAAGAGGAGUAAACAAGAGAUUGCUCAGGCCUGCAGAGGAAGGGGGUCUGGCGGGAUGGCAGCACAUUGCUGCUGUGCCCCUAGCCCACCGGCUGACCUUCAGAAAUCUUUUCUCUUUGAAGCCUGGAACAAGGUCAAGGUUCCUUCAAGGACAGACAUCCAGGGAUUGUAUGCCUUUGAAAAUGCUCGUGAUCGGCCAGGUGUGGUGGCUCACGCCUGUAAUGCCAGCACUUUGAGAGGCCGAGGUGGGCAUAUCACGAGGUCAGGAGUUCGAGACCAGCCUGACCAACAUGGUGAAAUCCCAUCUCUACUAAAAAUACAAAAAUUAGCCAGGAGUGGUGGUGGGCACCUGUAAUCCCAGCUACUCAGGAGGCUGAGGCAGGAGAAUCGCUUGAACCUGGGAGGCGGAGUUUUCAGUGAGCCAAGAUCACACCAUUGUACUCCAGCCUGGGUGACAGAGUGAGACUUCAUCUCAAAAAAAAAAGGAAAAAAGAAGAAAAUGCUCAUGAUAUAAUGGUUCUGCUAAAAAAACCCUCUGAUGGCCUGUUUAUGUGAGAAAUCCUGACUUCUCUAGUUUGCAUUCAGGGUCCCAGACUCACCUCCUGCACAUAUCCUGUGCUCUCUUGGGCAUGCCUUGGCCUCAUUACAUCUUCAACCUUCCCAGUGCUUCCCCUGUGCUUGUAUGCCUUCCCCUCUGUCUAGCUGAGUCCCCAGUUGGGCGAGGUCCAGCCUGAGUCCCCAUGGGAAGAAAUGCCUGCUGCCUUCUCCCAGUCCCCAAGCCUCUGUUGGCUCAUCACUGUAUGCCCAGCAUGGCCCUAAGAACUUUCAUUAUUCCCCUUAAUCCUCAGAACCACCAGGCCAGGUAGGGUAGGAUGGUGUGGUUAGAAGUGUGGGCUCUAGAGCCAUAUUCUCUGUUUUGAAUCCUGCCAUUUGGUAGCUGUGUAAACUUAGACAAGUUGCUUAGCCUCCCUGUGCCUCAAUUUUCUCGUCUGUAAAACAAGGGUAAUAAUACCUCCUUCACAGCAGGGUGGUGGGGAUUAAAUGAGUUGUUACAUGGAAAGCACUUAGAACAAUGCCAGGCACAUGGCAAAUACAUGAUACAUGUUGACUAGUGUUCUUGAUAUCUACAGAUGAGGACAUAGGUUCAGAAAGGUUAGGUAUUUUGCCUAAAGCGACAUAGCAAGGCCAUGAUGUGUUUGAUUCCAGAGCCAAUCAAACAUUUCAUAUGUUUGAUUCCAACCUACCCUCUUGGCACCUUAAGAAACUAAGACCCAGAGAAAGUAAUUCACUUUCUCAGAGCCACACAGCCACUCAUGACAGAACUGGAUCCAGGUCCUUUGUCUCCCAACUCAGAGACCUCCCACUAUACUGUACUGUCCCACUUGUAUUUCCUGCAGCACCUAAACUACACUUUACAGUUUACAAAUCACAUUCACACCCAUGAUCUCCUAUAAUUCAUACAACAACCCCUGAGGCUGCUAUUAUACCCUUCCUUCUUUUACAGAUGGAGAAACAAAGCUCAGAAAGAUGAUGUAACCUGCACAAAGUUGCACAGUGAGGUAGGGCAGAGGCUGAAUGUGAACGGACACAUCCCAGCCCAUCCUCCUCCCCUGUGUAAUUGUGCCUCUUGUCUGCUUCCCAAUGCAAGUGUAAUCUCUGGGCACCGUGGAAGCCGAGAGCCUAGUGGAGGCAGAAGGUAAGCAAAGACUAGCCCAGGAAACAGUCUCUAGGAAUUCACUAGAGUGGGUGACGCCUGUCACUCAUUUCAUUCUGGGAAUGCUGCAGGAGAUGGAAAGCCUCCCAUCCCUGGAGGCAACUAACAUGCCUCUAGUGGUCGUGUGGAUGCCAUGAGGCAAAUAUCACUGCUAUUUCCAUUAUAUAAAUGAGGCUCAGAGGUGAGCAUCACGUCAAGUAUUUCAAUUGGGAAAGAUGAUAUUUUUAAACUUCCCUCUAAGCAUGGGAUCUUGCACUGCCCCUUACUGCUGAGCCAAGCUCCCUGGAGAGUCUCCAUACCCUCCCCUUGACUCAGACAGGCCACCCUCCCUCCCCUCCUUGAGAGGUGUCACUUGAGCACUGUGGCUCUGUCAGUGGUAACAGCUGUAAGAUUUGUCCUUUUAAUCCAGAAUCAAUAACAAAUUUCAUUUAAAAAUAAAUUAAACCAGGCAUUGGAAAUCAUUCACCACGUGGGCUGGAGCCCUAUAUAGCACCAUCUAAAUGGCUUCCUUUUGCUCAUCUAUCAAUGCCAAGAGUGGGGGAAAUACCUAGGCUGCCUGAUUCAUGGAGAAACUACUUAAAUGUAUCAGCCCCUAACAAUGAGCAAUGUAAGCCUGGAGUUGCACCUUUUAGCACACCAAUAACAUGUGGAGUGAGGCUUCAUGAGAGCUUAUCAGAGCCCCCAUGGUCACUGGCUUUGAGAGAGCCCAUUUAUAAGGGGGAACAAUGGCUUUAGUAUGUAGCCGCCUAAUUUCCAGAAUGCAUUACUGAGCUCUGAGGAGCAAUGGAAUUCUAUUAAAGUCUUAUCUGCCAUGGGAGGGUAUGAAACCGGUGCGGAACUCCAGGCUUGGCAUAGACAUGCCCAGAAAGCAGCAGGGCUGACCCUAGGAGGUGGGUGAACAAGCCCAGAGGGAGAGGGGGGAGCAGGAGGGGCCCCGGAUGUGUGAAAAUAUGUGUGUUAAUAAGAGCUCCGGUUUCCAGCGAUUACGUUUACAUCAGUGAAUAAAACUUGGCAAUAAAACAUCGGAGCUGCGUCUCAGACAGCAUUUCCUUUUACAGCCUGGUGUAUUUCACUCAUUAUAACAGGAGGCAGGGAGCGCGAGGUGUCCCCAUUUCUCCCCCUUUAAUUAAAUUUUCUAAAUUACUGCCCAAGAUUUGGAUAAAGCGAAAGACUUACAGCUCCCCUAAUCGCCAUCGAGGCUCCCGCCCCACCACUGUGGUGGCCCUGACUGUACCGGUUUCCAAUAUUAUUAAAGUGAAAUACUGUGGGCAUUGCCUGCCUGGGCUCUGGUUUUUAAAAAGAGAUGCAGCAUCAGGAAGAAAUUGGCCCACGGUCAGGAAAGAGGCCUGGGUUUCAGGACGGGCUUUGCCAUCACCACCUUGUGUGACCUUGGGCAAGUUAUUUCUCUUAUCUGAGACUCAUGACUUCUCCUUUUCCCCAGAUGUUCAUCUUGAGGCUCUUAGAAUUGAUCUGGAGCUGGGGCAGUCCUUGGACCCACACUGGGACGACUGGGGAGCUUUAAGAAUAUAUGGGUGCCCAGGGCACACCCCAGAGAUUCUGACAUAAUUGGUCUUAGGUGAGAUCUGGGUAUCAGGGUUUAAAAAAAAUUCCCCAGGUGAUCACAGUCCACAGCUAGGAUUGAACACCAUUGGCCUAAACACAGAGUUAUUAGAUAUUACUGGACUUGAGACUCUCUGGAGAGGCUGGCUGUGGCCAGGCCCCACCCCUGGGUGUUCUCUUUCAGACUGGCUUUUCGGGGUGGGUAUCUGGGAAUCUGCCUGCUCACUAAGCACCCCAGGUGUGUCUCGUGCAGGGAUCCAGUGGGCUGCAGUGAGGAUUCCAACAGAGGUGGGAGGACAAGGGUUCCUUGAAUUGAGCCCAGCCAGCCUCGUGGAAUGAGGAGGCCCCUCUGCCCCAGUUCCCCUCUGGAGGGCAGCACAGGGAGCCGAUAUGUGACCUCCCACUCCGGUCUGGGGUACUUCUCUCCUCUGAUGACUGAUUUCUUUAUCUGUUCCACUCACCGCUGGCAGGAGCCUUGACUGGCCUCCACAGUCACAUCAUGUUCCCAUCAUAGGAACCCCAGGUCUGGCCCCUCUGCCCAUGUGGUUCACGAUCGCCGCAGACCCAGGUUUUCCACAUGGACGGACUCCGAGCCUUUAUCUGCACUCUGCCUCCCGCAGGGCUCCUAGGCCUCCUAGGAAGGCCUUGUCUAGGCUGAGAGCCAU
rnacentral:lncRNA from 1 species